rnacentral:rRNA from 1 species
AGUGAACGCUGGCGGUAGGCCUAACACAUGCAAGUCGAACGGCAGCACAGUAAGAUCUUGCUCUUACGGGUGGCGAGUGGCGGACGGGUGAGGAAUACAUCGGAAUCUACUUUUUCGUGGGGGAUAACGUAGGGAAACUUACGCUAAUACCGCAUACGACCUACGGGUGAAAGCAGGGGAUCUUCGGACCUUGCGCGAUUGAAUGAGCCGAUGUCGGAUUAGCUAGUUGGCGGGGUAAAGGCCCACCAAGGCGACGAUCCGUAGCUGGUCUGAGAGGAUGAUCAGCCACACUGGAACUGAGACACGGUCCAGACUCCUACGGGAGGCAGCAGUGGGGAAUAUUGGACAACGGGCGCAAGCCUGAUCCAGCCAUACCGCGUGGGUGAAGAAGGCCUUCGGGUUGUAAAGCCCUUUUGUUGGGAAAGAAAAGCAGCAGGUUAAUACCCCGCUGUUCUGACGGUACCCAAAGAAUAAGCACCGGCUAACUUCGUG